UUCCGAUUGAUCCUGCCGGACCUUACUGCUAUCGGGGUGGGACUAAGACAUGCGAGUCGAGCGUCUCUAGCUAUGUUGAGACGCGGCAGACGGCUCAGUAACACGUGGCUAACCUACCCUCAGGACGAGGAUAAACCCGGGAAACUGGGGCUAAUACUCGAUAGGUGAGAAUGUCUGGAAUGAUUUCUCACUCAAAGGGCCUUGGGAACAUGCUUCCAAUGUCGCCUGGGGAUGGGGCCGCGUCCGAUCAGGUUGUUGGUGAGGUAAUGGCUCACCAAGCCUAUAACCGGUACGGGCCGUGAGAGCGGUAGCCCGGAGAUGGGUACUGAGACAAGGACCCAGGCCCUACGGGGCGCAGCAGUCGCGAAAACUCCGCAAUGCACGAAAGUGUGACGGGGCUACCCCGAGUGCCAUCCGCUGAGGGUGGCUUUUCCUUGGUAUAACUAGCCGAGGGAAUAAGGAGAGGGCAAGACUGGUGUCAGCCGCCGCGGUAAUACCAGCUCUCCGAGUGGUAGGGAUGAUUAUUGGGCUUAAAGCGUCCGUAGCCGGCUUAGCAAGUCUCCUGUUAAAUUCAGCGACCUAAUCGUUGAGCCGCGGGAGAUACUACUAAGCUAGGAGGCGGGAGAGGUCGACGGUACUUCUGGGGUAGGGGUGAAAUCCUAUAAUCCCAGGAGGACCACCAGUGGCGAAGGCUGUCGACUAGAACGCGCUCGACGGUGAGGGACGAAAGCUGGGGGAGCGAACCGGAUUAGAUACCCGGGUAGUCCCAGCCGUAAACGAUGCGGGCUAGGUGUUGGGAUGGCUACGUGCCAUUUCAGUGCCGCAGGGAAGCCAUUAAGCCCGCCGCCUGGGGAGUACGGCCGCAAGGCUGAAACUUAAAGGAAUUGGCGGGGGAGCACCACAAGGCGUGAAGCUUGCGGUUCAAUUGGAUUCAACGCCGGA
rnacentral:rRNA from 1 species